AGUGUCCCGUCGGAGCAGCAGAGGAUGAGAUGACAACUCAGGGCACCAUGGCGUGCAUAUUUACGCCCCUCUGAUUUUUUGCAUCUGUCCUCGGUUUAUACGGGAAUACCAAACGGCUGAACGGCUCCACACUGGAGGCCCCUCUCCUAGUCUCCUCCGCCUUCCUCGUCUCCUUACGACUUCUUGGUUCUUCAUUCCAGCUCCAGGGCAUCUGGAAUGGUGACUACAGAGUGUGGGUGCGCAGAGUGUGGGUGCUAGCUGAACUACUCCCUUUAUAUUCCGCCAAGCCUGCUAGACUGCAGCUGUAGAGGGUAUAGAAAGUGCGAGAUGAGGAAUUCUUGCGAGGGCUGCAAGAGGUACUGGAACCAUCUACAUGGGAAGGUCACGCGUUUCGUCAGGCGGAUGAACAAAAAUUCGAGAAAAAGCCUGAUAAGCUCGUUCGCAGUUAAUAUGGCAUUUGUAAAAAUAAGGCCUCAUUCAAGCACCUUAUCUUAUUCAUUGGAACCAAUUUUAGGGAAAUUUACCUUUUGUCUACAGUUAACUCUCCCAAAAAAAAAAAGAAUUCUUCAAAUUUUACUUCUGUUACUGCAGGUCAUACCAGAGAGGUUUGGGAACCAUUUUGUACGAAAGAUGCCAGGAACCAUCGAACUAGAAGGCCCCAAUGGUAAAGUGUAUGAUGUUGGAGUUACCAAGCACAAGGACAUAACAAUCCUUCAGUCUGGAUGGGAGGUGUUUGUUGAUGCCAAUAACAUAGUGGAGAAAGACUCGUUGAUGUUCCGGUACCAUGGAAGAUCUCGCUUCAAGGUUGCGGUCUUUGAUUUUGGUGGUUGUGAGAAAAGGGUAUCCUGUGCUGGCAUUGAGAGCGAUACUAGUAAUCAAGAACGAAGCAAAAAUUAUGCAGACAUGUCAAGCAGUUCGAGCGAUCACAAUACUCGUUCGUCAGUGGGUCGGGGGUCAGAUGGAUGCCAAAAUCGUAGCUCAGGCCAUUGUAGAAAAUGGGCAAGGACAGACGCAACAUCCUCUUCAUCUGAGGAUUUUUCAGGAGAAGACAGUCCUUCUGAGUCGGAUGAUCACACACUCUCGAAGCCUCUUUAUGUCUUAUCAGGGCAAUGCUAUGUAACAGAAGAGCAGGAAGCAAACAUAGUUGCACUUGUCAAGGAAACUCAACCAAAGAUGCCUCUGCUUGUGGCUAUGAUGAACAACCCCAAUGUGAAACCAUAUCCUGACCUGGUACCUCAGUUUAAACGUCUCAAUUCUACAUGAACUCUUUAUUGCCUGUAUUCCUAUAUAUUGGUCAUUUGAAUACUGAUUAGGAAACUCAGCAUUGCUUCUGUUUCUAAUAAAGCUUCAAAAGAUACUUUUGGAAAAAAUACAUCUGAAGACACAUAAUCAUAAAAGAUUCUGUGUACUUGGUGAAUUCUUGCAGUCUUAAUACUUCGUCUUGCUUUCCAGUCCUCGUAUGAGUGAAUUCCUCUUUUAUUGCAAUCUUGUUCGAGUAAAACUUACAACUGUGCUACCUGAUGUACAUUUUGUAAUUUGGUAAUUCCUAAGGAUUACACUAUCACUUACUUUCCACACAAAAGUCAAACUAUCACACUCCAGCUGGCCAGGCAGAGCAAGACUUGGCACUGCAAAUUACUUGUCAGACAAGACGGAGGUCGGUGCAAUCUGUAUGGCUGUAACUUUGUCCGUGACAAUCAUUUGAUGGAGGGAGAUCUCUGCCUCUUCCAACCAAUGAGGAAUAGCAACGGAACAACAUUCACAGUGGUGAUCCAUGUGCUUCGCAAAGGGAGUAUUGAUCACCCCUCAGAUGGAAGUCCUGUUCUUUGCUCAAAUAAUGAUUUGCUAGGACCAAAGAUGACCUCAACUGUGCGUGUUAAGGAGGAACAGUCUGACGAAAGUGGAAGAUUAGAUGGAUGCCAAAGAGGGCAUUCAAGCCACAUUAGAAGUAUUACAAAGACGGCUUCUAUAUCCUCUGCAAAUAAGGAAUCAGGAGAAGAUAGUGCUUUGGAGUGCGAUUCUUCUGAGUCGGAUGAUGUUCAAACGCCUCCCGAGCAUGAUUAUGUGUUGUCACUUAGGAGUUAUUUAACUGAAGAACAAAAGGAGAAAGUUGUUAUGCUUCUCGGGAACAUUCAACCCAGAACUCCUGCAUUCGUGGCUAUCAUGAAGAAGUCCAGUGUCGAACCAACGCAUUCUUCUCUGGUAGAUUUUCUGAGUUCUUCAUCAGUCCUCUCUAGAAUUAUGAGGUUAUUUUUGUUUUCAACGUUAGAGGGAAACUACGUCAUCUUCAUGUUCUAAUGGCCCAAUAUUAGCAAUUAAAUAAAUGAAUUUUAUUUCUUGAUUAUUGAAACUAUAUCUGGACUGAGUUUUAU